UAUGGUUGGUUUUGCCAACCUAGCCGUGGCAGAAAAUCUGCAUGGCGGAAUAGUGGGAAAAAGCUGUGCGCCAUCAUAAUCCCUAAGAUUCAGUAAUCAGGUAAACCCCUCUCCUCUCCUCUCUCUCUCUACAUUACACUUGUUCUGUCUAUAUAUGGUGAUUUAAAUCUGCGGUUGCAGAUGUAUAAUCAAGAUUUUUUCCUUUAUCCUUCUCGGCCACAAAAUAUCCUCGAAAUUUUGCCUACUUGCACUUCGCGUCUCUAUGUGGACUGCCACCCUAGCUCAACAAAAGCUAGCUCUUCUCGAAUCCAAUAGAGAAGAUGGGAUCAUCUCAAGACACCAC
rnacentral:lncRNA from 1 species